GACGAACGCUGGCGGCGUGCCUAAUACAUGCAAGUAGAACGCACAGGAUGCACCGUAGUUUACUACACCGUAUUCUGUGAGUUGCGAACGGGUGAGUAACGCGUAGGUAACCUGCCUGGUAGCGGGGGAUAACUAUUGGAAACGAUAGCUAAUACCGCAUAAGAACAUUUACUGCAUGGUAGAUGUUUAAAAGGUGCAAAUGCAUCACUACCAGAUGGACCUGCGUUGUAUUAGCUAGUAGGUGAGGUAACGGCUCACCUAGGCGACGAUACAUAGCCGACCUGAGAGGGUGAUCGGCCACACUGGGACUGAGACACGGCCCAGACUCCUACGGGAGGCAGCAGUAGGGAAUCUUCGGCAAUGGGGGGAACCCUGACCGAGCAACGCCGCGUGAGUGAAGAAGGUUUUCGGAUCGUAAAGCUCUGUUGUUAAGGAAGAACGAGUGUGAGAAUGGAAAGUUCAUACUGUGACGGUACUUAACCAGAAAGGGACGGCUAACUACGU
rnacentral:rRNA from 1 species